CAUCAGCGCGAGCGCCUUGAGCGUCGGCUUGGUUGUGUUCGUAGUUUAGAGGGAUUAAUUAAAAUUAAUUAAAAGAAAUAAUAUCAUUCAUCGUUUUUCAUCGUUUUGCGUUUCGAGAACGAUGACUGUGAGCCGUAAUUUACGAGUGUCGAUUCUGAUUGUCAACAACUGUUCGCAAAUUCCAACACCUGUCAUCGUCAGAUUUUUGAGAUUUUGUGCUAAUUGUGCGUCGUGAUUAAAAAAAAAUGACAUUCGUUCCGUGUUUAAUACAGAACGAUGGCUGUGAAACCGUAAUUUGUGAGUUUUCGAAAGUUCCAACACCUACCAUCUUCACAUUUUCGAGGUUAUGGUGCGUCGUGGUUAGUAUAGAUAAGAAAAUAAGAAACAAACCCAAAGAAUGUGAACACCACCGACUACUAUACAGCUUGUCGAAUUUUGUUUUCUUUAAAAAGAGCAUAUGUAGGAGCAGCAGAAAAAUAAACAAUUGAAAUUGCCGGAGAGGUUAUGAUUUCUUUUUGGAGAACAGAGGAAAUGAUGUGAAUCGGCAGUUUUUCUUCCGAACAAUGGACAAUGCUGUUUUGAAAAAUGUGGUCUUACCAUGUUGAACAAUUUAUGGCAUCUUCGCACAGGAAAACGGACGGAGCAGUCUUUCGAGUAUUUUUUUUUUGGAGAAUACAGCAAAUGACGGAAUCAGAGGCUUUUUGUGCGAAUAAUGGACAGUUCUGUUUGGAAAAUUUGGAUUCUAUUUCGAGAGGAUGUUCUCAAUUCAGAUAUAGCAUAUGAUCAUUAUACUCAUCAUGGAUCACUGCUUCGAGCAUUAUUUUUCUCAUGGUUCGAUCGUAACGGGCACAUUCAAUCUGAUCUCCGUCAAGCUACUCUCAAGCUCAGAAACGAUUUAAGCCACAGGAAAACACACCGUGCAAUCUUUUGAGUGUUUUUUUUUUGGAGAACAAAGCAAAUGAUGCGGAUCAGAGGUUUUUUUUCCAAAGAAUGGACAGUUCUGUUUGGAAAAUUUGGAUUCUAUUUCAAGAGGAUCCUAAUUCAUAUGAUAGUCAUUAUACUCAUCAUAGAUUUGAUAGUAACGUGCACAUUCAAUUCUGAUUUCCGUCAAGCUACUCUCAAGCUCAGAAACGAUUCAAUCCACAGGUUCGAAAAACGUGCUCUGUUAUAAAAUUCAAAUGAAUUCACUUCUAGAUCAAAGUAUUCUCCAUUAAGUUUCUUAUUAUUUAUGAUCAUUAUACUCAUCAUAGAUUUGAUUAGUCAUUAUACUCAUCAUAGAUUUGAUAGUAACGGGCACAUUCAAUUCUGAUUUCCGUCAAGCUACUCUCAAGCUCAGAAACGAUUCAAGCCACAGGUUCGAAAAACGUGCUCUGUUAUAAAAUUCAAAUGAAUUCACUUCUAGAUCAAAGCAUUCUCCAUUAAGUUUCUUAUUAUUAUUUUACAUGACUUUUUCUUAGUAAAUUUCCUAUAUUAGUCUGAAUAAUAACUGAAAUUUGUUAACAGUUUUACAUGUUCAAUGAAACAAAAAUUUCAAGUUAUUUUAAGACGAAACAUUUUUCUGUUUUUAUUCAAGAUUUAUAAUUGGAUAUUGUGAAGUAUUAUUAUUUCAGACAAAGUCUACAUUAGUUUGAUCCAAUGAAACAAAAAUCUCAAAUCAUUUAGGACAAUUCUGUUUUUUAUUGUGAAAAGCUAUUCAGACAAAACAAAUAUUUCACCAGGCUGAAAGAUUUAUGGCAUUUUUUUUGGAACAGGAAAACAGUUUGAGCAGUCUUUCGAGUGAUUUUUUUUUUUUUGAGGACAGAGCAAAUGUCAGAGCUUUUUUGUCCGAAGAAUGGACAGUUCUGUUUGGAAAAAUUUGGAUUCUAUUUCCAGAGGAUACUCCCAAUUCAGAUGUAGCAUAAGAUUAUUAUACUCAUCAUACAUAAGACUUAUGAAAAAAAAAACUUGAAUUAUUUUCAAACGAUUCACAAACAUUCUUUUUUCGGCAUAUAUCAUUAAAUUAUUUAUUCGUUAAUAAAGAACUUAAA